GAUGAAGAACGUAGCGAAAUGCGAUAACUAAUGUGAAUUGCAGAAUUCCGUGAAUCAUCGAGUCUUUGAACGCACAUUGCGCCCCCUGGUAUUCCGGGGGGCAUGCCUGUCCGAGCGUCAUUGCUGCCCAUCAAGCACGGCUUGUGUGUUGGGUCCUCGUCCCCCCCGGGGGACGUGCCUGAAAGGCAGCGGCGGCACCGCGUCCGGUCCUCGAGCGUAUGGGGCUUUGUCACCCGCUCUGCAGGCCCGGCCGGCGCUGGCCGACGCGAAAGCAACCAUUUUUUCUCCAGGUUGACCUCGGAUCAGGUAGGGAUACCCGCUGAACUUAAGCAUAUCAAUAAGCGGAGGA
rnacentral:misc_RNA from 1 species